UACGGAGGAUUCGAGCGUUAUCCGGAUUUAUUGGGUUUAAAGGGUGCGUAGGCUGUCGGAUAAGUUAGAGGUCAAAUGUCGGGGCUUAACCCCGUGCCUGCCUCUGAUACUGUUCGACUGGAGAGCGGAUGCAGCAGGCGGAAUGAGUAGUGUAGCGGUGAAAUGCUUAGAUAUCACGAAGAACUCCGAUUGCGAAGGCAGCUCACUGGACUGCAACUGACACUGAGGCUCGAAAGUGUGGGUAUCAAACAGG
rnacentral:rRNA from 1 species